UACGUAGGGUGCAGGCGUUGUCCGGAAUUAUUGGGCGUAAAGAGCUCGUAGGCGGUGUGUCGCGUCGGCCGUGAAAACCUGGGGGCUUAACUCUGGGCGUGCGGUCGAUACGGGCAUCACUGGAGUUCGGCAGGGGGAGACUGGAAUUCCUGGUGUAGCGGUGAAAUGCGCAGAUAUCAGGAGGAACACCGGUGGCGAAGGCGGGGUCUCUGGGCCGAUACUGACGCUGAGGAGCGAAAGCAUGGGUAGCGAACAGG
rnacentral:rRNA from 1 species